rnacentral:sRNA from 2 species
GAUUAUCUAAGACCGCUUUUUAAUAUUCGAUAGAGAAGGAACGGGGGAACCAAACUUUGGGGCGUAUCUGAAUGACAAUCAAUCACCGAUUGUAUUAAGAGGGACAUCUCUCAGUCCUAGCCCAUCAGCUAACCUCGUCGGUAUUGAGAGAAGACUG